rnacentral:rRNA from 1 species
GAUGAACGCUGGCGGCGUGCUUAACACAUGCAAGUCGAACGGGAAUUACUUUAUUGAAACUUCGGUCGAUUUAAUUUAAUUCUAGUGGCGGACGGGUGAGUAACGCGUGGGUAACCUGCCUUAUACAGGGGGAUAACAGUCAGAAAUGGCUGCUAAUACCGCAUAAGCGCACAGAGCUGCAUGGCUCGGUGUGAAAAACUCCGGUGGUAUAAGAUGGACCCGCGUUGGAUUAGCUUGUUGGUGGGGUAACGGCCCACCAAGGCGACGAUCCAUAGCCGGCCUGAGAGGGUGAACGGCCACAGUGGGACUGAGACACGGCCCAGACUCCUACGGGAGGCAGCAGUGGGGAAUAUUGCACAAUGGGGGAAACCCUGAUGCAGCGACGCCGCGUGAAGGAAGAAGUAUCUCGGUAUGUAAACUUCUAUCAGCAGGGAAGAUAGUGACGGUACCUGACUAAGAAGCCCCGGCUAACUACGUG